CAACGAGAAGCACACAACAUGGCAUCCACUGUACAUUUAGAGAUCGUCGGUCUUUUAAAUAAACAUAAUUUUCAAAUAGCCAAAAGCAUUGCCGAGGGACUGAAAAAUAAAUUCUCGGAGUCAUUUGAUGAUCCAACAAUUCGCCCGUUGCUGGAAUGUGACUGGCAUGACUAUUUAUCGAAUAAAAAGAGGGAGCUGAAAGGGGAGGUCUGGCAGUACAAUGGCUGUCUAAUGUCGUUCGCCAACGGUCAGUUGCUCGGAGAUGAGAGGAAACUGUCCAGCUGGGCAGAGAAAGAGUGGAAGUUUUCUUUCCAUCGACCACAGGCGCUUUAUAAAGCACUUGCUGAGGAGUAUUACACCAGCAACCUGCGUAGCACAGGGCAUAUUUUUGUUUAUAUGGAUAUUGAAAGCGGCGGAGAGGCAUUUGGCAGACUGUUGUUUGAGCUGUUCUCAGACCUGUGUCCAAAGACGUGUAGGAAUUUUAAGGCCUUGUGCACUGGAGAGGCAGGUUUGUCCAAGAGUAACCUUGAGUUGAGCUAUAAAGGCUCAGUUUUCCACAGAGUUGUUCCAAAUGGCUGGCUGCAGGGUGGAGAUAUUUCACCUGAAAGGAAAGGCACUGGUGGGGAGUCUAUCUAUGGCCCAACAUUUGAGGAUGAGAAUUUUGUUGUAUCCCACAUCAAGCGUGGCAUUCUGGGAAUGGCUAAUCAAGGUGCUCAUAGCAACGGCUCUCAGUUCUACAUCACACUACAGCCAGCCUUAUGGAUGGACCACAAAUAUGUGGCUUUUGGGUAAUGACUCACAAUAUACACCAGAAAGCCCAAGUUAUGAGAGCUUGUCUUGAUAUUUGGCUUUGCAUUAUGAAUGCAGACACUAUCCAAAAGAAAACUUGUUGAGGGCACAGAGGUUCUGAAGAGACUAGAGGCAGUGCCCACCUACAACGAGAGACCCAAACAGGACUGCAAAAUAUCUGCAUGUGGAGUAUUUGAGCCCUGAGUAAUCCCAUACCGACUAUAGAUCAAGACAGCAAUGCAAGAAGCAUUUUAAUAACCAUUUUUAUUAUAUGUAGAAAUAUUUUUGUGCUUUUCUAUGUAAAGUGAAAAAAUAAAGCCAAAAAAACCCUCAAUUUAUACUCUUUACCAGUACUGUUUAUUUCUGUGGCGCCCAUGGCAAAUGGAUUUCAGCAUCCUGUUAUACUGCCUUGUCAGAUUUGGUUACCCUGCUAUAACUGUUUAUAAAAGAACCAAAAUGCUUUCCAGAGCAUGAAAUAAAUGAGUUUAGUCAUUAUCAGAAAGGAUUAAAGCAGUGAAAAAGAGAAGGGAAAACGAUCAUGGUAACUUAUGCUGCCUUGUUGGAUUUGGUGACCAUGGUGUAUGCAACUAAAUGCUUUCCAAAUAAAGAAGAGAGAACUUUAUAAGUCACCUGAGUGAAUCUGAAGAACAGUAAAUGUUUUCUGUGUGAAACAAAGGUGUGUAACAUUUCUGUGACCUGUAUGCUUUGAAACAGGAGAUUAGACAUCACCAAUGAAUCUGGAGAACAUUAAAUCCAUUCAAAUACAGUAGGUUAGUUAACAUGGAUCAAAACCUUUCAUCAAAGUGGUCCUAAAACUUAAAACCAAAGUGCAUUUUUGU